rnacentral:rRNA from 1 species
AGAGUUUAGANCAUGGCUCAGAUUGAACGCUGGCGGCAGGCUUAACACAUGCAAGUCGAGCGGAAACGAAAGUAGCUUGCUACUAGGCGUCGAGCGGCGGACGGGUGAGUAAUGCUUAGGAAUCUACCAAGUAGUGGGGGAUAGCCAUUGGAAACGAUGAUUAAUACCGCAUAUAUCCUACGGGGGAAAGCAGGGGACCUUCGGGCCUUGCGCUAUUUGAUGAGCCUGAGUGAGAUUAGCUAGUUGGUAAGGUAAAGGCUUACCAAGGCGACGAUCUCUAGCUGGUCUGAGAGGAUGAUCAGCCACACUGGAACUGAGACACGGUCCAGACUCCUACGGGAGGCAGCAGUGGGGAAUAUUGCACAAUGGACGAAAGUCUGAUGCAGCCAUGCCGCGUGUGUGAAGAAGGCCUUCGGGUUGUAAAGCACUUUCAGCGAGGAGGAAAGGUCAGUAAGUAAUAUUUGCUGGCUGUGACGUUACUCGCAGAAGAAGCACCGGCUAAUUUAGUGCCAGCAGCCGCGGUAAUACUAAAGGUGCAAGCGUUAAUCGGAAUUACUGGGCGUAAAGCGCGCGUGGGUGGUUUGUUAAGUUGGAUGUGAAAGCCCAGGGCUCAACCUUGGAACUGCAUUCAAAACUGACUCACUAGAGUACGAGAGAGGUUAGUGGAAUUUCCUGUGUAGCGGUGAAAUGCGUAGAGAUGGGAAGGAACACCAGUGGCGAAGGCGACUGACUGGCUCGAUACUGACACUGAGGUGCGAAAGCGUGGGGAGCAAACGGGAUUAGAUACCCCGGUAGUCCACGCCGUAAACGAUGUCUACUAGCCGUUGGAGGACUUGAUCCUUUAGUGGCGCAGCUAACGCGAUAAGUAGACCGCCUGGGGAGUACGGUCGCAAGAUUAAAACUCAAAUGAAUUGACGG